rnacentral:rRNA from 1 species
GACGAACGCUGGCGGCAUGCCUAAUACAUGCAAGUCGAACGCUGAAGCACUCUGCUUGCAGAGUGCAGAUGAGUGGCGAACGGGUGAGUAACACGUGGGAAAUCUGCCUAGGAGUGGGGGAUAACAUUCGGAAACGGAUGCUAAUACCGCAUAUCUUUUUGAACCGCAUGGUUCUUAAACGAAAGACGGCUUCGGCUGUCGCUCUUAGAUGAUCCCGCGGCGUAUUAGUUAGUUGGUGGGGUAAAGGCCUACCAAGACCAUGAUACGUAGCCGACCUGAGAGGGUGAUCGGCCACACUGGGACUGAGACACGGCCCAGACUCCUACGGGAGGCAGCAGUAGGGAAUCUUCCACAAUGGGUGAAAACCUGAUGGAGCAAUGCCGCGUGAAUGAAGAAGGUCUUCGGAUCGUAAAGUUCUGUUAUUAGAGAAGAACAAGUCAAGGAGUAACUGUCUUGACUUUGACGGUACCUAACCAGAAAGUCAACGGCUAACU